GGAGGGAGAGAAGCACGUUUCUCACAACUCCUGUCCAGUUGACUCACCUGCCCCCUUGCCUGUCAGAUAUUGAGGACUCCCUACAUCUGUAACCUUGAGUAAAUUACCAAAAGUUCAAAGGCUGUGGCAAUUAAGAAACUGCAUGGCCUAUCGGGAUGGCCCAGCAGGUAGAAGUGCUUAUCUCCGAGAAUGAUGACUUGAGUUCCACUCCAGAGUCCAUAAUGAAGGAGAGAUCAAUUUCCAGAAGUUGUUCCUGACCGCCUCAUACACACGCCUCACCCUCACACAUCAUACAUGCACAAUAAAAUAAAAUAAUUUGUUUAA